UUGAUCAUUUAAGCAGAUGAAUUAUUGCUGUGUCUUCCUAAAAUGGUGUUUCAUUUUUGCACUUUUUUCCUGAAUAAAGCCAUCCUUGUUUCUUACCAGGCUGUGCACUGGCAUGUGGAGGAACAGUGCCUGGCUAGGGUUGCCAGAGAUGCAGCUAUCCAGGAGAGCAGGCAGUGCCCAGCUCCUCAAGAGCUCUACCCCACACCCAGCAGAUAAAAAGGAGGCAUUUGUGGCUGGUGAUGUCCCCAGGACUGGAGCAGUCAGUGCAUAGCUGUCCAGUCUCCACCUGAGGAAGCAGAUGUGCCUGAAGCACAUUCAAAGUGCUGGAUGUCCAGGCACAUGUCCAGUCACAUUCACUUCUGGCUGGAAUUGUGAUCCAGAACAGUGUUUACUUGUGAGAGAUGAAGCAGGACAGCCUCUCUGAUUACUGCUGAGAGUUGAAUUUAGGU